GGACCCGCACAAGUAGUGGAGCAUGUGGUUUAAUUCGAAGAUACGCGCAGAACCUUACCAACACUUGACAUGUUCGUCGCGACUCUAAGAGAUUAGAGUUUUCGGUUCGGCCGGACGAAACACAGGUGCUGCAUGGCUGUCGUCAGCUCGUGUCGUGAGAUGUUGGGUUAAGUCCUAUAACGAGCGCAACCCCUACCGUUAGUUGCCAGCGUGUAAAUGACGGGGACUCUAACGGAACUGCCGGUGCAAACCGUGAGGAAGGUGGGGACGACGUCAAAUCAUCACGGCCUUACGUCCUGGGCCACACACGUGCUACAAUGUAGGUACAGAGGGAAGCCACCCCGCGAGGGGAGCGGA
rnacentral:rRNA from 1 species